AGAUAACAAAAGGAAGUGGGAUUUUGAAGUAAAGGGAUUUUAACAAGGCGAUAUGGCACGGUCAAAUGACUAACUUUUUCGCGGAUCGCCUUUUCACGGACUAACCUUCUCGCUCUGCAACAGAGAUUCAUGGCACAUGGUGGGAUUUCACUCGGUACCACUUGCACUGAUGAAAGAAAAGCUGAACAGAAUGGCUGCUUAUGAUGUAUGAUAGCUGUGUCACACAUGUGAGCCAUUGUGUGAAGUAAGGAAGAUCAAGAACAGCAGUAAAAUUUUCAAGCAUCAAAAAGAAAUGGAAUACAUGAAGUAGCCAGCUUUUUGAAGAUAAACAGAUCUUCUCCAGGGCUGAGUUUACACACUGUAAGGAGGGCUGAGUUUACACAGGAAGAAAAUAAACUUGUUGGAAGCUCAGUAUCUGACAUGGCUCAGAGAAUCCAGCCAGGAAGGCAGCAUUUCUGGAGCUGAAAUCUGAAUUAAAGAGCAACCCCAUCAGAAACUAACAGAGAAUCUGAGAAGGAUAACCAACUGUUGCCAUAAUAUUUGAAAUGAAGACAAUUGGACUGAUCUCAUCUCUUGCUGAAUUUGCCUACAACAGUGCAGCAUACUUCUCUGUCGGUCAGGCGUGUCAAACUCGAUCCCAUCAUCGGCUGUAUCAGGAUUUUGUUUGCCCUUGGAGGUCCGGGGUGGCCUGGUCAUCGCAGCUGACUGGGUGUAUGGAAUCGGGGUGGGCUGGGGCCAGGCCGGCAGGGGCCGGUCUCUCACCAUCUCUGGGACGGCCCUGUGGGACAACACUGGACAUAUGGCGGGCCGCUUGUUUGACACCCCUGCUCUAGGUAGUCCUUGACUUAUGACCACAAUUGAGCCCAAAAUUGCUGUUGCUAAGUGAAACAGUUGUUAAGUUAAUUUUGCCCCAUUUUGUGACCUGUCUUGCCACAGUUGUUAAGUGAACCAUUGAAGGUGUUAAGUUAGUAAUGCAGUUGUUAAGUGAAUUGACUUUGCUUGUCAGGAAGUCGCAAAAGGUCAUCAUAAGACCCUGGGACACUGCAACCGUCAUAAAUAUGAGUCUGAAUUUUGAUCAUGUGACAAUGGGGAUGCUGUGAUGGUCGUAAGGAUGAAAAAACUGUCACAAAAUACUUUUUUCAGUGCCAUUGUAACUUCGAGCGGUCACUAAAUGAAUUAUACAUUGA